CCUACGGGUGGCAGCAGUGAGGAAUAUUGGUCAAUGAGCGAGAGCCUGAACCAGCCAAGUCGCGUGAGGGAGUACUGCCCUAUGGGUUGUAAACCUCUUUUGUCGGGGAGCAAAAGCCGGACGUGUCCGGCUGUGAGAGUACCCGAAGAAAAAGCAUCGGCUAACUCCGUGCCAGCAGCCGCGGUAAUACGGAGGAUGCGAGCGUUAUCCGGAUUUAUUGGGUUUAAAGGGUGCGCAGGCGGAUUUUUAAGUCAGCGGUAAAAUCGUGGGGCUCAACCCCAUCCAGCCGUUGAAACUGGGGAUCUAGAGUGUGCGAGAGGUAUGCGGAAUGCGUGGUGUAGCGGUGAAAUGCAUAGAUAUCACGCAGAACCCCGAUUGCGAAGGCAGCAUACCGGUGCACAACUGACGCUCAGGCACGAAAGCGUGGGUAUCGAACAGGAUUAGAUACCCCAGUAGUC
rnacentral:rRNA from 1 species